rnacentral:rRNA from 1 species
CUCUUGCAACAAGCGUAUAAGAGGUCCCGCCUGCCCUGUGACUUAAUAGUUUAACGGCCGCGGUAUUUUGACCGUGCAAAGGUAGCGUAAUCACUUGUCUUUUAAAUGAGGACCUGUAUGAAUGGCAUAACGAGGGCUAAGCUGUCUCCUUUUUCGAGUCAAUGAAAUUGAUCUCCCCGUGCAGAAGCGGGGAUAUAAGCAU